GUCAGUUCAAGGCAGAACUUCUUAGAUGAAGAUUUUUUUUACCUGCAUGACGUGUUGAGCAUCAACAGGAUGGUUCACAGGAUUUAACACAUUUAAAAGGAGGUUCUGGAGUUUCUCUGGAGAAGUUCUAGCUUUAGUUCUGACCUGGAUGGGUCAACUUUCAUCCACAAACAAACACAUAAACAAACGUUUAAAAAGGUUUGAUACCGGAGUGAGGUCUGCUAACCAAAGCGGUUCUGAAGGUGACAUCAGACCUCUGGACUCGUCAAGACGAAGGUCCGGAUCAGGUGCUGCUGGUUCUGAUUAUCUCCCCCCUCCAGUCGCGUUUCCUGAAACCGUGAUCUCAUAGGAAGCAGAAAGGUCUCUUUCAGCACAAACGGACAGAAAAAAGGGUUUAAUUUAACCCGUUUCCUGUGUCUGGAUGUAAAACCUUGAGCUGGACGACUAAAAAAAGGCCAGAAACAACAAAAGACACGACCAGAUUUGGAUCAGAUGCCAGAGGAGAUUUAGAUACUCCAGAGCCACUUUGGUUUAAUCGGCCUGAACGACGGACGACUUUGAUGUUUUAUUUUGAUGGAGAAGAUGAAAGAAAAAGCUGCUCUAAGAUCGGCUGAGCCUCCGCUGGAUCAAACUCUUCCCCAAACGGGUAUUUUCAUGAAAAAAAGCGGAGAAUAAACAAGU